AGGCAGCCAUGGUAGUCAGCCUGAUGCAGCGACGCCGCGUGGGUGAUGAAGGCCUUCGGGUUGUAAACGCCCUUUCGACGGGGACGAUGAUGACGGUACCCGGCGAAGAAGCACCGGCUAACUCCGUGCCAUCAGCCGCGGUAAGACGGAGGGUGCUAGCGUUGUUCGGAAUCACUGGGCGUAAAGGGCGCGUAGGCGGCCUGGCGAGUCGGCUGGUAAAACCCCGGGGCUCACCCCCGGAGGUGCGUCCAAAACUGCUGUGCUGGAGGCCGGAAAAGGAGGGUGAAAUACCCAUUGUAAGG
rnacentral:rRNA from 1 species